rnacentral:rRNA from 1 species
UACGUAGGGGGCAAGCGUUGUCCGGAAUCAUUGGGCGUAAAGCGCGUGUAGGCGGUCCGGUAAGUCCGCUGUGAAAGUCCAGGGCUCAACCCUGGGAUGCCGGUGGAUACUGUCGGGCUAGAGUACGGAAGAGGCGAGUGGAAUUCCCGGUGUAGCGGUGAAAUGCGCAGAUAUCGGGAGGAACACCAAUUGCGAAGGCGGCUCUCUGGGACGGUACUGACGCUGAGACGCGAAAGCGUGGGGAGCGAACAGG